UACGAAGGGGGCUAGCGUUGCUCGGAAUUACUGGGCGUAAAGCGCGUGUAGGCGGCAAGGAAAGUCGGAUGUGAAAGCCCACGGCUCAACCGUGGAAGUGCACCCGAAACUGCCUAGCUAGAGUCUCGGAGAGGAAGGUGGAAUGCUUGGUGUAGAGGUGAAAUUCGUAGAUAUCAAGCGGAACACCGAUGGCGAAGGCGGCCUUCUGGACGAUGACUGACGCUGAGACGCGAAAGCGUGGGGAGCAAACAGG
rnacentral:rRNA from 1 species